AGGUGCUUCCAUGGCGCCCGUCCUGCUCUUCCUAGGUGUCGUUUUGGCGGCCGGGAUGGCCAAGAGAGUUGAACGUUCCGCCCCCACUGUUAUUACAUGUUUUACAAGAGGAUAUGAUCUUAGAAAGGAUCCAGCAGAUGUCAUCUGUCCAGCAAAUUGUCAUAUAUGGCAGUUCUAUGUCUAUGGAAACAUUGAGUAUGCCUCUGAAUCUAGUAUCUGUGGAGCUGCCAUUCACAGGUAAGAUUUAUUAUCAACCAUGCAAUAGAAAUUAUGAAUGAAUAGUAAGAAUGAUAGGAAAUUAAGGAUUAA